rnacentral:rRNA from 1 species
GACGAACGCUGGCGGCGUGCUUAACACAUGCAAGUCGAACGGAAAGGCCCUGCUUGCAGGGUACUCGAGUGGCGAACGGGUGAGUAACACGUGGGUGAUCUGCCCUGCACUUCGGGAUAAGCCUGGGAAACUGGGUCUAAUACCGGAUAGGAGCCAUUUUUAGUGUGAUGGUUGGAAAGUUUUUUCGGUGUAGGAUGAGCUCGCGGCCUAUCAGCUUGUUGGUGGGUAAUGGCCUACCAAGGCGGCGACGGGUAGCCGGCCUGAGAGGGUGGACGGCCACAUUGGGACUGAGAUACGGCCCAGACUCCUACGGGAGGCAGCAGUGGGGAAUAUUGCACAAUGGGCGCAAGCCUGAUGCAGCGACGCCGC